rnacentral:rRNA from 1 species
UACAGAGGUGGCAAGCGUUGUUCGGAAUUACUGGGCGUAAAGGGCGCGUAGGCGGUUCGUUAAGUCCUGUGUGAAAUCCCCCGGCUCAACUGGGGAACUGCACAGGAAACUAGCGGGCUUGAGUUCGGGAGAGGGAAGCGGAAUUCCGGGUGUAGCGGUGAAAUGCGUAGAUAUCCGGAGGAACACCGGUGGCGAAGGCGGCGUCCUGGACCGACACUGACGCUGAGGCGCGAAAGCUAGGGGAGCAAACGGG